rnacentral:rRNA from 1 species
GUCCUUUAGAAUUUAAUUUAAGGUCUAGCCUGCCCACUGAAAUUAAUUUUAAAUGGCCGCAGUAAUUUGACUGUGCAAAGGUAGCAUAAUCAUUAGUUUUUUAAUUGAAAGCUUGUAUGAAAGGUUGGACGAGGUAAAAUCUGUCUCUAAUUAAUUUAAUUUAGAAUUUAACUUUUAAGUCAAAAGGCUUAAAUAUAAUUAAAAGACGAGAAGACCCUAUAGAUCUUUAUAGUUUAUUUAUUAAAUUUAAUUAAGAAUUUUUUAAAUUUUAUUAAUUUAAUUAUUUUAUUGGGGUAAUAUAAAGAUUAAAUUAAUUCUUUUUUUUUAUUAACAUUAAUUUAUGAUUUUAUGAUCCAAUUUUAUUGGUUAUAAGAUUAAGUUACCUUAGGGAUAACAGCGUUAUUUUUUUAGAGAGUUCUUAUCGAUAAAAAAGUUUACGACCUCGAUGUUGGAUUAAAGAUUAUUUCAGGUGUAGAAGUUUGAAAAUUUUGGUCUGUUCGACCAUUAAAUCUUUACAUGAUCUGAGUUCAGACCGGUGUAAGCCAGGUCGGUUUCUAUCUUUAGUAGAUUAAAAUAUUUUAGUACGAAAGGACCAAUUAUUUAAUAUAAAAUAUUUAAAUUUUGAUUAUUAUUAA